GAGUUUGAUCCUGGCUCAGAUUGAACGCUGGCGGCAUGCCUUACACAUGCAAGUCGAACGGCAGCACGGGAGCUUGCUCCUGGUGGCGAGUGGCGAACGGGUGAGUAAUGCAUCGGAACGUAUCCUGGAGUGGGGGAUAACGUAGCGAAAGUUACGCUAAUACCGCAUAUUCUGUGAGCAGGAAAGCGGGGGACCUUCGGGCCUCGCGCUCUUGGAGCGGCCGAUGUCGGAUUAGCUAGUUGGUGAGGUAAAGGCUCACCAAGGCGACGAUCCGUAGCAGGUCUGAGAGGAUGAUCUGCCACACUGGAACUGAGACACGGUCCAGACUCCUACGGGAGCAGCAGUGGGAAUUUUGGACAAUGGGGCAACCCUGAUCCAGCCAUGCCGCGUGAGUG
rnacentral:rRNA from 1 species